AAUUUACUGUGUUGCCAUUGUCGCUGUUUAUUUUACUUAUAAACAACUUAUCGGAGAUAUAUCUAACUUUACAUCUGCUCCUUUUAAAUUUGUCCAUUUUUAACUGGAUAUUGAUAACAAACGUGACACUUCUAAUGACUUCACAAGCUACUAAACUUCACAAUUAAGAUUCAAAAUUGGUAGAUGAGUUUUAGUUUGCGUCGUUUUAAAAUCGUAAAAUUUAUAUAGAUGAUUAAAAUUAAUUCAAAAAUCAACAUGACGUCGAAUGAAAGGUGAUGUUAUUACCUUUGUUAAGUCGGGAUUAUAUUUUUAUUAGGUUUAUAGUCCGCUGGUGAUUAAAUGCAAUAUGUCACUUUUUAAUAAUUGGAAUCUUAUCAAUGAUAAUAGUACAUGCUGUAACAAAGUUGUUAUUAAACCGUACUUUUUACUUACUUCUUCAUGUACAUAAAUCAGCAUCACCUGGUUAUACGUAAAAGAUUGAAAUCAUGUCAAAAGAGUCAACUUCUUCAAAUUCUGGUGUUACGCACCAACCAGUACUUCCUAUAAAAGUUGCUCAUAAAGUCAGUUGCAACCAAAACGAAGCAAUACCUCAGUGUUCUAAACUGCGACAAAAGGCAAUAAAUAAUAAAGAUAAUUGUCGGAAUGUCACAAAACAAAUUUCUGAAAAGAAAAUGCAGAAUGUUUGUAAAAAACAAAAUAAAAAGAAAAGCAAAAAUAUUGUUUCUUCUGACAUAAUUGAGGAGGAUGAAAUUGAAGUUAAAAAAUCUAAACCCAUAAAAGAAAAACAGACAUUUCCAAAAUAUAUUCCUAUAGACAAAAUUGAUCAAUUUUUAAAACCUCAAAAUUCUGCAGAUGCUCAAUAUGUAGAAGGAUACAUACGUAUUAACUCUAGAUACAACAAACAUGCUUUUUUAUCUUGUAAUGGUGAACGUGAUCUAUUGAUUAUCGGUAUAAGGGACAGAAAUCGUGCUUUGGACGGUGAUUUUGUUGUAGUCCGUAUACAUCCUACAGAAAAAUGGCAAAUGCAUCGGGGAGAAAUACAGAAAACAGGCAUUGUUGUUUGUAUAAGAGAAAAGAUACAUCCAAGGAAAGCAAUUGGCUACUUAAAACGACGUGAUUCGUCGGUAUUUUUUUAUCCAAGAGACCAACGAGUUCCGUUGCUUAAAAUACAUCAGGAAUCGGUGCAGCGGUUUACCUCGUUUGUAGAUGGUUGUGAUGAUACAUUGUACCUAGCUGUUUUAGUUAAUUGGAUAAUGCCUCAAUUUGCAUAUGGGAAAAUUGAAAAAAUAGUCGGAAGUAUGGGUGAUAUAGAAGCCGAGUCGAAUGCAAUAUUACUCGAACAUGAUUUAGAUGUAACACCUUACAGCCCUAUUCUGAUGAAAGGACUCCCUAACAGUGAUUAUUCUUUAACAGAAAAUGACAUAAAAAAUAGAGAAGACUGGAGAGAUGAAUGUGUGUUUACAAUUGAUCCUGAUACAGCAGUUGACUUAGACGAUGCAGUUUCUUGCAAAAUUUUAGAAAAUAAAAAUUAUGAGAUCGGUGUACAUAUAGCGGACGUUACUCAUUAUCUAGACUUCUUGUCGCCGUUAGAUAUUCAAAUUUCAAAACGGGCAACGACUAUUUACAUGACGGACAAUGUAUAUCAUAUGUUACCUAAGCAACUAUGCGAAGUAUGUUCGCUGUUGCCAGGCCAAGAUAAAUUGGCCUUUUCUGUCAUUUGGGAAAUGACACAAAAUGCCGAAAUUGUCAGUCAUCGUUUCGCUAAAACAGUAAUAAGGUCCUGUUGCCAAAUGGCUUAUCGGCACGCACAGGAAUUCAUAGAAAAUCCAAAAAAGAAUUGGCCUCGCAAGUUUCUAAGGGUGAAGGGAAAUUUUAAUCUUAAAGACUUAUCGACGAAAGUAAAUAUUUUGCAUAGUUUAGCUAUUCAGAUGCGUGAUAAAAGAUUUAAAAAUGGAGCGCUGCGAAUAGAUCAACCAAAAUUACAUGUUACACUUGAUCCAAUUACGCGUUUACCAAUAUCAUACAGUAUAGAAGAACUUAAAGAUAGUAACAGACUUAUAGAAGAAUUUAUGUUGUUAGCUAAUAUGACGGUUGCUACUUAUUUGUACGAUACUAUUCCUGAUACUGCUUUGUUGCGUAAUCAUAGAGAACCCUCACAAUAUAUUCUCAAUACGACCAAAGACAUUCUGGAAAAAUUUGGAAUUCAUUUAGAUAUCGAAUCAUCUGCUUCUUUACACGCCAGUAUUAAACGAUACGAGGAAGAGUUAGAGUCUGAAAAUAACGAGAUUAAAACAACGAUGAAAUACAGAAUGAUGGUCAUCAACAAUCUUUGUUCUAAAGCUAUGGCUCGUGCAACCUAUAAAUGUUCAUCAACAGUUAAGAGUGAGGAGGACUUGAAACAUUAUGCUUUGAACGUAUCCCUUUAUACACAUUUCACUUCUCCAAUUAGACGAUAUUCAGAUUGCGUAGUACAUCGUUUACUUUAUUGGACUAUGCAGAACAUAACGUUGCCCGAAACAUGGUCAGAAAAAUUGUGUAAAGAAAUAGCGGCAAAUUGUAAUUUAAAAAAGUACAACGCAAAAAUGGCUCAAGAACGAAGUAAUGAAUUGUACUUUACGUAUUUAAUUGACUUAAACGGUCCUAUCGUUACUAUGGGCAUCGUGUUAAGUGUAACAGAGAAUUUUAUAGACGUUAUACUGUGUCACGUUGGUAUAAAAUUAAGGAUUUUUCUUUCAAAAUUAAAGGACUUGAUGGAUAUAGAAUACUCUUCAGAGUGUUCAGUUUCAACGAUACGUGUUUCUUGGAAACAAACGUCUUUUACUCAGGAUCAGGAAUCAAUUAUGUUGCAUUAUCUUUAUUACAUUAAUUGUUUUACAAAAGGAAGUGAUAUUGCAAAGGUGAAUUUGUGUAAAUUACAACAAUAUUGUUUAUUUUUCGCAAGAUUCAACAGUUCCGUUGAGGUAAUGAAAGUUCUGAAUGUUGCGGAAAAAAAUGAUGCUGCGAAAAACAUCGCUGGCUAUUUAUCCCGUGGUACUAGUAAACGGAGAGAAGGGCUGUCUCCGUAUAAUAAAAUUUAUGAAUUCAAAUCACAAGUGUGGAAUCAGAAUUGUGAUAUGAUUAUGACUUCUGUAUCAGGUCAUUUGUUGGAUUUUCAGUUUGUUAGUGCAUAUCGAAAAUGGCAAAGUUGUCAUCCGUUAAGUUUAUUUGAUGCACCUGUAACAAAACAAUGCAUAGAGCAAACUUCUUUGAAGAUCAAAGAGACUUUAGAAAGAGAAGUGAAAAAGUGCAAUGCAUUAAUUAUUUGGACAGAUUGUGAUCGUGAAGGAGAAAACAUAGGUUUUGAAAUCAUUCAAGUCUGUCAAGCAGUUAAACCUAAUAUUUCUGUAUAUAGAGCAAAAUUUUCUGAAAUUACACAAGCAUCUAUAAAUAGAGCUCUCCAGAAUCUAUGCGAGCCAAACAAAGCAGUUAAUGAUGCUGUUGAUGUGCGAAUGCAAUUAGAUUUAAGGAUAGGGGCUGCAUUUACAAGAUUUCAGACACUGAGACUUCAAAAAGUAUUUCCUAGAACUCUGUCUGAUAUGUUGAUCAGUUAUGGCAGUUGCCAGUUUCCUACACUAGGUUUUGUAGUCGAAAGAUAUUUAGCAGUAGAAAGAUUCAAACCAGAGCCAUAUUGGAAAAUCAGUGUAAAAGAUACCCGUGACAAUAUUAGUGUAGACUUCAGGUGGGCAAGAGGAAGAUUAUUUGAAAAAUUGCCUUGUGAAGUUUUCUUGGACAUGUGUCUUGAACAGCCUAAUGCCACUGUACAAAAGGUAACAAGUAAGCCUACCAGUAAAUGGAGACCUGUACCAUUGGACACAGUUGAACUGGAGAAACAAGGUUCUCGAAAGCUUAGGUUAACUGCAAAACAGACUAUGAAAAUUGCAGAAAAAUUAUAUACUCAAGGUUUUAUCAGUUAUCCGCGUACAGAAACAAAUAUAUUUCCAAAAGAGUUAAAUUUAGUUCCUUUUGUAAAUCAGCAAGUAAAUAAUCCACUUUGGGGAAACUUUGCACAACAAUUAUUAGAGAAAGGAUUGCAUCCUAGACAAGGAAAAAAAAGUGAUCAGGCACAUCCUCCUAUACAUCCAACAAAAUGUGCAGAUAAUUUACAAGGUGAUGAAGCUAAAGUUUAUGAAUUUGUUGUUCGACACUUUUUGGCUUGUUUAUCGGACAAUGCCAUCGGCCGAGAAACAGUGGUAGAGAUUGACAUAGCCGGAGAAAAGUUCGUUGCUAACGGCCUUCAAAUUAUCGAAAAAAAUUAUUUAAAUGUAUAUAUUUAUGAGAAAUGGAGCGAUAAGGAAAUUUACGCGUAUCAAGAAGGACAAGUUUUUAGACCAACUAGUAUAGAUAUGAUACAAGAAGAAACAUCCCCGCCGCAGUUGUUGACCGAAGCUGAUUUAAUUAGUUUAAUGGAUAAAUAUGGCAUCGGUACUGAUGCCACUCAUGCUGAACAUAUAGAUACGAUAAAAUCGCGUCAAUAUGUAGGUCUGAUGGAUGGGAAACAUUUGAUACCUGGGAAACUUGGAAUUGGAUUAGUAAUGGGUUAUGAUAGUAUGGGAUUUGAAAUGUCGAAACCGAAAUUGAGAGCUGGUUUAGAAAAAGAUCUUAAAUUGGUAUGCGAAGGCCAAAAGAGUCCAGCGGCUGUAUUAGAAACUCAAAUAAAUACGUAUCGUGAAGUGUUUAAAGUAGCAAUGGAACGGGCGAAUUUAAUCGAUAGUGCCUUAGCUGAUUAUCUUGAUGAACGACCGGUUGAAGCACAAGAUAUACAAAUGAGUAAUCCACCACAAGAUACUACUAUCUUUAAGUGUCCUAAAUGUGGUCUUGAUAUGAUUCUUAAAGAGAAAAAGCAAGACUCUGGCAAGUUUAUUGGCUGUAUAAACUUUCCAACAUGUAAUAAUACGGUUUGGUUCCCACAGAACGUUGAAUCUGUUGAAGUUCUAGAUGAAAUUUGUUCACAAUGUUCAGGAAAUAGGCACAAAUUAAAGUUUAAAUUAUCCAGAAAUGCUUUUCCACUUUAUGGUACCUCUUACACAACCUGCAUAGGUGGUUGUGAUCCUAUGUUUAAUGAAGCAUUGAAUAUUAAAAAUGAGAGUGUUAAAGCUAUUUCCCAGAGAAACGAAAGCGGUUACUACACUAUGUCCGAGGAGUCAAGAUCAUCAGUCGUUUCAAAUUCGACCGUCGGCUCGUUCGAAAUCAAAGUAGUAACCGUAGUACGACAAGCAGAUCGAAAGGUAAUACAAGAGCUAAGAACCAAUCUACUGCGAAGAAUAAUACGUACGAUAGCACCAAUAAUUCCAAUCCGCCGACCGUUGGUACAACAGUACUGAGUAAUGAAUCGACCAGAACAUGGGGUCAUAUCGAUGAUGAUUCCGUUAUUGUGUGUAAAUGUAAUGAAACUGCGAUGAAAUUAACCGUAAGAAAGGAAGGGCCUAAUCAGGGAAGAGUAUUUUAUAAAUGCGCACGUCGAGGUGCUGAGUGUGAUUUCUUUCUUUGGGAAUCGGAUGAUACUAAUCAAACUCAAAACGUCGCAAGCAACGAUUUUAGUGCGAGA
rnacentral:misc_RNA from 1 species